rnacentral:rRNA from 1 species
CAAGUCGAACGCGAAAGUUCCCUUCGGGGAGCGAGUAGAGUGGCGCACGGGUGAGUAACACGUAGGUAAUCUACCUUUGGAUUGGGAAUAACAACCGGAAACGGUUGCUAAUACCGAAUAAUGCAGCGGCACCUAAUGGUGACAGUUGUUAAAGCGGGGGAUCGCAAGACCUCGCGUCUAAAGAGGAGCCUGCGGCGGAUUAGCUAGUUGGUAAGGUAAUGGCUUACCAAGGCUAUGAUCCGUAGCCGGCCUGAGAGGGCGGUCGGCCACACUGACACUGACAUACGGGUCAGACUCCUACGGGAGGCAGCAGUCGGGAAUUUUGGGCAAUGGGCGAAAGCCUGACCCAGCAACGCCGCGUGAAGGAUGAAAUCCUUCGGGAUGUAAACUUCGCAAGAACGGGAAGAAUAAGUAAGAGCUAACAUCUCUUAUGAUGACGGUACUGUUUGUAAGCUCCGGCUAACUCCGUGCCAGCAGCCGCGGUAAUACGGGGGGAGCAAGCGUUGUUCGGAUUUACUGGGCGUAAAGGGCGCGUAGGCGGCCACCGCAAGUCGAUUGUGAAAUCUCCGGGCUUAACCCGGAAAGGUCAACCGAUACUGCGGGGCUAGAGUGCAGAAGGGGCAACUGGAAUUCUCGGUGUAGCGGUGAAAUGCGUAGAUAUCGAGAGGAACACCUGCGGCGAAGGCGGGUUGCUGGGCUGACACUGACGCUGAAGUGCGAAAGCUAGGGGAGCGAACGGGAUUAGAUACCCCGGUAGUCCUAGCCUUAAACGAUGAAUGCUUGGUGUC